UUACAGGCUGUUCAAGAUAUUGAUCAAUAUUUGGAUGAAGACUCUUUCAUCUGGUGAAUACCCAGGUACAGACUAACAUCCUAGCUCCUGCAACACUCAAUUGCUCCCUGCGUGCCUGGUGUCCUCCUACUGGACUCUGAGGUUGUAUUCAUCUAUGUAUCUACUCUAGAAGGUGGGAUACACAGUGAAUUCUGAGAGAGGAUAAAGAAAGAACUGCCCUAAGCACUUGGACAGUAUUUAAUCCUCUCUUUCUUUUAGUAGCUAUGAUAUCUUGGGGCAGCUUUUGCUCCCCCAAAAUGGAAAUAACAAUAAGCCCUGCUCACAGAGUUGUGGUUGAAAUUAAACAUCAGUAAAACA